UCAACUUCUGCUCCUUGAGAUAAGUGGGAGUGUUGUCAUUUCACCAGCAUAAUACUGAGAUGAAAAUGCAUACUUUACAUCAUUUGCAUUGUCUCUCUCUCUAUAUAUGUAAAGGCAAUUUACUUAAGCCAGUCUUAAAACUUAAAAGCAUGAAUUCCAAAGAAAGAAUGCGGGAGAGAGGGAUGCCAAUCAGCACCAUCACCAUGGGCAACCCUGGAUUCUAGUCUGAUGGAAGCUCUGCCAUGUGCCCUUUUCAAAGCGUUGGGUGAUAUCAUUCAACGUAAUAGGAUCUUCUUCUGCAUCAACUGCUGACACUCCAGGAAACCAUCCUUCAGGAAAAAGAUGAACUCAAUUAUUAUUAAUUAUUAUCGAUUAUUAGCUGGGCAAUUUGAGCAUCCUUAGGUUUUGUGGGUGGCACUGGGACUCUAACAGUUAAUACUGGUUCCAACACUUUGUGCUCCUCAUUCAAUAAAACAGAUGAUUGCUUCUUUU